GACGAACGCUGGCGGCGUGCUUAACACAUGCAAGUCGAACGGAAAGGCCCUGCUUUUGUGGGGUGCUCGAGUGGCGAACGGGUGAGUAACACGUGAGUAACCUGCCCUUGACUUUGGGAUAACUUCAGGAAACUGGGGCUAAUACCGGAUAGGAGCUCAUGCUGCAUGGUGGGGGUUGGAAAGUUUCGGCGGGCGGGGAUGGACUCGCGGCUUAUGAGCUUGUUGGUGGGGGAGUGGUUUGCCAAGGCUUUGACGGGUCGCCGGCCUGAGAGGGUGAACGGCCACAAUGGGACUGAGAUACGGACCAGACUCCUACGGGAGGCAGCAGUGGGGAAUAUUGCACAAUGGGCGGAAGCCUGAUGCAGCAACGCCGCGUGCGGGAUGACGGCCUUCGGGUUGUAAACCGCUUUCGCCUGUGACGAAGCGUGAGUGACGGUAAUGGGUAAAGAAGCACCGGCUAACUACGUG
rnacentral:rRNA from 1 species